UACAGAGGUGGCAAGCGUUGUUCGGAAUUACUGGGCGUAAAGGGCGAGUAGGUGGCCAUCUAAGUCAGACGUGAAAUCCCCCGGCUUAACCUGGGAACUGCGUCUGAUACUGGAUGGCUUGAAUUCGGGAGAGGGAUGCAGAAUUCCAGGUGUAGCGGUGAAAUGCGUAGAUAUCUGGAGGAAUACCGGUGGCGAAGGCGGCAUCCUGGACCGACAUUGACGCUGAGGAGCGAAAGCUAGGGGAGCAAACGGG
rnacentral:rRNA from 1 species